GAUGAACGCUGGCGGCGUGCUUAACACAUGCAAGUCGAACGAAACACCUUAUUUGAUGUUCUUCGGAAGUGAGGAGUUGGUGAGUGAGUGGCGGACGGGUGAGUAACGCGUGGGUAACCUGCCCUGUACAGGGGGAUAACAGUCAGAAAUGACUGCUAAUACCGCAUAAGACCACAUCACCGCAUGGUGCAGGGGUAAAAACUCUGGUGGUACAGGAUGGACCCGCGUCUGAUUAGCUGGUUGGUGAGUUAACGGCACACCAAGGCGACGAUCAGUAGCCGGGAUGAGAGAGUGAACGGCCACAUUGGGGCUACGCCACAGCCCCAACUCCUACGCAAGGGAGCAGUGGAGAAUAUAGCACAAUGGGGGGAAAGCUGAUGGAGCGACGCCGGGUGAGUGAAGAAGUAUUUCGGUAUGUAAUGUUCUAUCAGCAGGGAAGAAAAUGACGGUACCUGACUAAGAAGCCCCGGCUAACUACGUG
rnacentral:rRNA from 1 species